AACGAACGCUGGCGGCAUGCCUAACACAUGCAAGUCGAACGGGAUCCGAGCUUCGGUUCGGUGAGAGUGGCGGACGGGUGAGUAACGCGUGGGAACCUGCCCAGUGGUGGGGGAUAACUGCGGGAAACUGCAGCUAAUACCGCAUGAGCCCGAGAGGGGAAAGAUUUAUCGCCAUUGGAGGGGCCCGCGUUCGAUUAGGUAGUUGGUGAGGUAACGGCUCACCAAGCCUUCGAUCGAUAGCUGGUCUGAGAGGAUGAUCAGCCACACUGGGACUGAGAUACGGCCCAGACUCCUACGGGAGGCAGCAGUGGGGAAUAUUGGACAAUGGGGGGCGAACCCUGAUCCAGCAAUGCCGCGUGAGUGAUGAAGGCCUUCGGGUUGUAAAGACGUCUUUUGUCCUAGGGACGAAGUGAUGA
rnacentral:rRNA from 1 species